rnacentral:miRNA from 1 species
AGUUUAAAACGUUACUGUCGGUAA